GACGAACGCUGGCGGCGUGCCUAACACAUGCAAGUCGAACGGAGAAUCCAGCAAUGGAUUCUUAGUGGCGAACGGGUGAGUAACGCGUAGACAACCUACCUUCUAGAUGGGGACAACACUGCGAAAGUGGUGCUAAUACCGAAUGUUGUAUCGAUGAUGCAUAUUGUUGAUACUAAAGAUGGCCUCUAUUUAUAAGCUAUCGCUAGAAGAUGGGUCUGCGUCUGAUUAGCUAGUUGGUGAGGUAAUGGCUCACCAAGGCGACGAUCAGUAGCCGGUCUGAGAGGAUGAACGGCCACACUGGGACUGAGACACGGCCCAGACUCCUACGGGAGGCAGCAGUGGGGAAUCUUCCGCAAUGGACGAAAGUCUGACGGAGCAACGCCGCGUGAGUGAAGAAGGUUUUCGGAUCGUAAAACUCUGUUUUCAGGGACGAAUGUGCAGCUUGUAAAUAAUGAGUUGUAAUGACGGUACCUGAGUAGAAAGCCACGGCUAACUACGUGCCAGCAGCCGCCGUAAUAC
rnacentral:rRNA from 1 species